rnacentral:lncRNA from 1 species
UGAAAAAUACUAUUUUCAAGCAAUGGGUCUUUAGCCAAGUUAACUUCUAUAAAAUAUAUUUUUGCCUUUGGUUAACAAGUGAAUUAAUGUACUUUUAGGUUAUUUGAAGAUUAAAUCACAUUGCCUACACACAUUACAUACUCCAUAAAUGCUGUUAUAGUUACAUACUCCAUAAAUGGUGUUAUAGUCUGCUGUUGAUAAUAAAUAGUAUUAAGCUUGGUGUUAUUUUGGGAGAAUGAAAGAAGGCAAGAUUCUAUACCAAUGCUGGGAUGGAUAGCCAAAGAGGAGGUCAACGGUCCCUCCCCCUCCUUUGAGGUCAGAUAAAGGUGGUUACAUUUGCCAGCACCUAGGUCAAGGUCACCUGUUCCAGAACUGUAGGAGAUGACUGGCAGAAGCAUUAAAAAUGUCCCUUUAGCAAAUCAAAAACACAUGAUUUUAGGCUAGGAAAUGGUAAAGCCAGAAGUAUGGCCUGACUUAGGAAUAUGUUUGAGAUAGUCCAAGUGGAGAAAACCUCUGAAGAUAUUACGAAUGAAGAGAACCUAAAAAUCAACAUGGUGUGUGGGGCUUUGGAGUCACUGUACUGGGGGUACAUUUUUAUAACCGGCUCAUUUUAUCUCAGGCUAUAGAGCUGAAUAUGUUUGCCAACAUUUGACAAAUUUGUAGAUAUCUUGCCCCUUUCAUUUGGACUCUAGUAACUCUACACCAUUCCUUAGCACAGACUUGCUGGAGACACUUAAACUCCUAAAUAAUCAUUUACAGCAAUGACGUCUGGAUGAAUAAGAACCGAGAAAGAUUAAUACUAUAAAACAGUAAUUAAAAAUAAUUUUUACAUAAAGAAAUAUAAUUAUAGAAAUUAUAAGAAUAUCAUUUCUACAUAUAGAAAAAUAAUUUCUACAGAGGAUCUCAUAUUAAACACACGCAAAGGCCUUAAUUCAGCCAUUGCUUUCAUUUGCAUAUUUAAUUUUCCUUGGGAAAUGUCAUGGGUUCAGCUCAUUAACAACUACAUGACUCAAAUGCACAAUCCUGCACUUUCCUUCCUUCCUUUGAUGCCUCUCCCACUUACCCCCAAGGACAAGACAAGAAAAGAGUAGCUAAUUUUCUCAUUAAAAGAGAACAUAGGUGAAAAUAAUAACUAGUUCCAACUACUUGAGAAAUGAUCAGAUCUCAGUAUGCAUAGUAUCUUAGUAAAUCAAGACAAAGUCAUUAUAAUUAUUAUCAAAAAUUCAUUUGGGCAACAAAUCUUUAGACACAUUCACUGCCUUAGCCUCUAGGUACUUCUAUAACCUAACAUAAAAUUUUGUAGCAGAUAAAGGUUUUAAUUUUAAGCCUAUAAAAUUCACUCUUGUAAAUCAUGCACCUACUCAAUUGAUUAAAAAGCUCAUAUAUUGUAUCUGGCAUACAUCUAGAAAGUAUAGUAUUCCCAAAGUUGAUAGAUUUAAGAGUUAGUGAGGAGAGGACUGGGGGGGAUGCUGGAGGCAGAUAUGUUAGACCUGUUGGCCAGAUCACCCUGUCUCUCCUUUUCAUUGGGUGCAUGAACUAUGCAAAGUUUAGUCAAAUCAAAAUUUCAGUAUAAGAGCAUAUCAGCAAGACAUGGUAGAAUCAAAAGUAACCAAAUUAUACUGCCCUUGAAUCUUUCAGCAUGGCACAUCCAAAGGAUGGACAGAGAAGAAUAGAAAAGGAAAGGGAGUAGCAAAGGCUCAACCAUCAACCAGAUGUCAUUUUAAAGACCUCCAUUUAAUUGUCUUCCUAGUCCUUUUAUAAUUGUCUUAGAGUUCAAUAUCUCAUGCAAUGUCAUUCUUACUUUUAUAAACCUGACCUCUUGGAGUAGUUUAUUUAAAUAUUAAAGGGCAACAACAACAACAAAACCCUGAAUUCUAAACAUACUGAAAAAUAAAAAGUAUGGAAAUUGCCCUAAUUUAAAAAUAAGAAAUCCACAUAAGUCCCAGAAAUUCAGAGCAAUACAUUUUGCAAAAUUCAUUGUGUUAGUUCUUUAGAGCAAAUUAACCUGAUUAUAAUUUUCAGCAUUAAAAUACUUAAAAAAUUAGUGAAGGUUUACAUAAUGUCUAGCACUUUUACCAUAAAUUCAUAUUUCUUAUUAUUCUAAAGAAAUUUUCCAUCAGAAUUGAAAAUUUCAGAAAGUAACAAAAACCUAAAGUGUUCUCAGAUGAGAACACUCAUCUGAGGCCAUUGAGGACAACCUGCACCACUAGCUGUGCCCUUGAAAAAGUCCCUUUGCUUCUGGAAAUAAAUGUUUCCUCAAUGAUAGAUUUGGAAUAAUCUUAGAACCAGACAUAUGGUGCCAUUGCAAUGUGAAUCAGAGAAUCAAACAAAUUGUUAACUGAGUAUCUGACACAGAAUGUUCAGUACAUGCCAGUGAAUGAGGUCAUGAUGGUCAUAGGGGGGAGCUAAAAUCUCCUGGUUCCUAUCCACAGACUACUAUCCCAGUUUGCUUAAUGUUGUUUCCCUGUUCCAAAAUUGCUUCUGAUAUAAUUACCUACAAAUCUCCACUCACUUUUUUCUGCUGUCUUCUUUAUCUUUCCAAAAUGAACAGUCAGAACAAAUUUCUGAGUGUUUCAGGGCCAGGAACUUAAGGAGAAACAUGUUUCCACUUUACUCACUUUAAUAAGGAACAAAGAAGGUAUAAUAAAGACUAACUCCAUUUUGUGAUGUUUUACAGCUGACCGCUUUCUGCCUCACCACGCUCCUUGCCCUGCUUUCCCAGUUUGGGCAAACAGAAAGCAAAAGGCCUGGGCCCUCCCUCCUGUGGCCCCAAUCCCUACACACAACAGAAACCCAAGCUUAUCUCCUUUACUUGCUCUCUCAAGCCAUUCUGGGACACCUGUCUUGCUCUGCCUUGAAAGUCUCAUUGUGUAAGAAAUGCUAUCUUUUCAAAUCCUCUUGAUGUGUGUGGCGUCACUGGUCUUGACACCUAAACCAAAUUUUGGGUGGCGUGAGUCCUAAUUAAUGAGUCAUCACAACAGCAAGCACACUCAAUGAAUUUUAUUUUGUUAAUUUGUGGAUUAUUCUCACUUAUCUAAACAAAUGAAUUUCAGGUAAGUUGUCCCAGCAAUCUUUUGGGGUUCAAUUAUGUAAGAAAGAUUCCCAGAAAAACUCUGUCUCGAAAACAUUUUAUUUCUUCACAGAAUAUGUUAAACUUUAAGGAAAAAACAAAAAUAAAAAGCUUUGAAAAGAACCUUUUAUUUAAACUAGUUUCACAACAGAAACACUGAAAAAAAGGUCAUUUUGUACAAUAGAUAUAAAACAGAUUAUUUUAAUGACCUUAUUAGAUUUUUUCUUUUAGCUACAAUAAAAUGCAAGAAUGAUUAUUAUUUUAAGAAAAAUAUUUAGAUUAACAUCUUAGAAGUAAAUGUGUAUAGGACUUUUAGGAAAAUGCCUAUUCCACCAACUACGCCCAAGCAAGAAGUUUUACUAACUUUUCCAAAAGGGAUAUUAUUCAAAUUAACUAGAUUUACAAAACUUUAAUUCUUCAAAAUAUUAGGAAUGUAUAAAUAUUAUUAAAGGUGAGAGAUACUUGUAUAUUCUCAUGCUUUUAAAAUUAUGGGGUAAUAACAAUUUUAUAUAUAUGGAAUCUAUAUAAUUUAAAUAAAAAUUUAAAAUAUAUUUACAUUUAUCAUAAAUUUAGAGCUAUAAAUUCAUAAUGUACAAGAAAGUGAUAUAUGAUAUUUAAUUAAACUCCAACUCAUUUGUUGAGUCCCUCCAAUUUGCAAAGCCCUGUGUUACACAGUGGAUAUAAAAUGGGGAAUGGAAAGGGGUACAAUUCUAAUGCAACUAAAACUACUGUGGAAUGGUAUGGCAUCACUCCAGGUGCAUUUUCCUUAUUCACACUGUACUUCGAUUCCAUCCUUGCAGUGGGAAAAUCCUCAUGAGUGAGCUAAAAUACAGUCUUUCUUGAUAUUUCUAUACUCUGUAUACUAGCUCAAUCUUUAAAGAAUCACCCACAUAAUCGAGUUAAAUGAAAUAUACACUCCUCUCCAAGGAGAUAUGGCAACUGGUCCUCAGGCAAAGUGCCUUACAGGUAAUUUAAAAGGGUACUUUUUUCACUUUGUAGCCCCGAGACAUAAUUGUCAUGAAAGUUAUUAGAAAACAUGUAGGAGAAAAUACUUAUAACACACUUUUUACUUCCCAUAUUAGACUUUGGUUUUCUAGGUAUAGAGUAGACAGAAUAAUAUAUCCUGAAUGUAAUAAUGCAGGUUUUCCCAGCUUCCUGGGAACCCUGUGUACAAACGAAUCAUCUCAAGAGGUUCUGAGGGGCAGCUUAAGGUCAGCAAAGUAAGAGGCUCAGGGCUGCUCCAUUGCAUCUCCUCUGCAAUCAGACAACUUGAGGCUUCAUCUCAUUUGUACACAGUAGUAAGAUUCCAAUUAAGAUCCCAAAAAAGAAAAAAAAAGUGUUGUUUGUGGGAUGUGUGUGUAUGUGUGGUGUUUUACUGAUUUAAAGCUGCUUUAAAGUUAAAACCCUGAUCUGAGUUUCACAUUUCCCCCAGUUAGAAUAAAACCAAAAUUACGUAAUUCUUCAAAAUAGAAUAAGGCUCACUACUGAUUCUAAUGUAUUAUCAUUUUAUGCCAAUCUUUAGGUUUGAAAAUAAAUGUAAAGUUGCAUCGUAUCUUAAUAUAUGAGAAAGGGUUUUCCUGUAACUUUCCACUUCACUUCUCUUUUGAUCAUCAAUCAUUAUUCUCACCAUUCCCCAAUUUGUUCCUCCACUCUGGUGGGUAGUAAGGACACAUAACAAGCUUCAUUAAGGGCAUAUAACCAUCCACGUACACUAAAACUUAAUUGAUCUUUGCAAUAUAGAAAAUAAAAACAGGCACUGCUUCAUGAAAACAGAUAUGAUUUAAAUCUUUGAUUGACACAGUAUUUAGUGAUUUAACAAAUUGGAAUUCCCGUUGUGGCUCAGUGGUUAAUGAAUUCAACUAGUAUCGAUGAGGACACAGGUUUGAUCCCUGGCCUUGCUCAGUGGGGUAAGGAUCUGACGUUGCCCUGAGCUGUGGUGUAGGUCGCAGACACAGCUCAGAUCCUAUGUUGCUGUGGCUGUGGCGUAGACCAGUGCUACAGCUCCAACUUGAUCCCUAGCCUUGGAACCUCCAUAUGCUGCAGGUGUGGCCCUAAAUAGGAAAAAAACAAAACAAAAAAAAAA